GCAAGAUGUAAACUCUUUUGGGACUGGCUGC
rnacentral:piRNA from 1 species